CCCCGUGUCCCCGCGCUGACGCUGCCCCGCAGGGCGCGGUGCUGGCCCCCGCCGUGGACCACGCCGUCCCCCUCCAGCCCUCUGUGGUGGCCCCCCUGGCCCAGCAGCUCGGCCACCUCUCUCUGGGCAGCGCCGGCACGUACGUCCCCGCUGCCGCCGCCGCCGUGCCCGGAGCCUUCAUCCCGCCGUACCCGCCGGUGCCCCCCGCCCUCCCGCUGGAGGACGGAGGAGCCGCCCCGAGCCACGGGCCCAUCGAGUCACCGUCCGAGCCCGGCGCCUUCCCCUACCCCUACCCCAAGUAGGGGCAGGGGGGGCUCGGCCCGAGGGACCCCCUCCCCAAAAAUAAAACCGCUGGGACCCCCACCCGGUGCCUGAUCCCCCCCGGAAUGCUCUGAGCACCGGGCGGGGGUCUCUGAGUAUGGGGAGGGGUCCCCACCCUUCCACUCCUCCCUCCAUCUGCUUCUCCCCCCCC